rnacentral:tRNA from 1 species
GGGCGUUUAGCUCAGCUGGUUUAGAGCAUCUGCCUUACAAGAAGAGGGUCGGCGGUUCGAAUCCGUCAACGCCCA